AGAGUUUGAUCCUGGCUCAGGAUGAACGCUGGCGGUCUGCUUAACACAUGCAAGUCGAACGGAAUCUUUCGGGAUUUAGUGGCGGACGGGUGAGUAACGCGUGAGAAUCUGCCUUCAGGUUCGGGACAACAGUUGGAAACGGCUGCUAAUACCGGAUGUGCCGAGAGGUGAAAGCUUAAGUGCCUGGAGAUGAGCUCGUGUCUGAUUAGCUAGUAGGAGUGGUAACGGCACCCCUAGGCGACGAUCAGUAGCUGGUCUGAGAGGAUGAUCAGCCACACUGGGACUGAGACACGGCCCAGACUCCUACGGGAGGCAGCAGUGGGGAAUUUUCCGCAAUGGGCGCAAGCCUGACGGAGCAAGACCGCGUGAGGGAAGAAGGUCUGUGGAUUGUAAACCUCUUUUGAUCGGGAAGAAGACAGUGACGGUACCGAUCGAAUCAGCUCGACCCCC
rnacentral:rRNA from 1 species